CUAGCUGUUUUAGGGAUCCACUAAAUGUUCAUCAAAACAUUGAUGUUUCACUGACAAAGUCAUUGGCUAUUUCGAUAAAAGAAAACAGAGAAAAAAUUACACUUACAACUAUAUUAUAUUUUAGAUUCUGAGUGUAGCGAAGGAGCUUAUAGUUUUACAAAGAUGUUUUUUUUUUUUAUUAUUAUUUGUGCGCAACUUGACUACCAAAAGACCUACUCAGAUUUUAAAGUGCAGCAUCUUUUAUCGAAAGAAAUCGAAGUGG